ACUCCUACGGGAGGCAGCAGUGGGGAAUUUUGCGCAAUGGGGGACAAGCCUGACGCAGCGACGCCGCGUGAGUGAUGAAGGCCUUCGGGUCGUAAAGCUCUGUCCUGGGGGAAGAAAUGGCGGUGGCUAAUAUCCAGGGCGCUUGACGGUACCUGCCAAGGAAGCCCCGGAUACAUCCGUGCCAGCAGCCGCGGUAAUAC
rnacentral:rRNA from 1 species